rnacentral:tRNA from 1 species
GGAGAGGUGGCUGAGCGGUCGAAGGCAGUGGUUUGCUAAACCACCGUGUGUCAUUAACGGCACACCAUGGGUUCAAAUCCCAUCCUCUCCA